GACGAACGCUGGCGGCGUGCUUAACACAUGCAAGUCGUACGGUAAGGCCCUUUCGGGGGUGCCCGAGUGGCGCACGGGUGUGUAACAUGUGAGUAACCUGGCCACAACUUUGGGAUAACGCUAGGAAACUGGUGCUAAUACUGGAUAUGUGCUCCUGCUGCAUGGCGGGGGUUGGAAAGCUCCGGCGGUUGUGGAUGGACUGGCGGCCUAUCAGCUUGUUGGUGGGGUAGUGGCCUACCAAGGCGGCGACGGGUAGCCGGACUGAGAGGGUGACCGGCCACCCUGGGACCGAGGGACGGCCCAGGCGCCGACGGGAGGCAGCAGGGGGGAAUAUUGCACAAGGAGCGCAAGCCGUGUGCAGCAGGGCUGCGUGCGGUAUAACGGCCUUCGGGUUGAAGACCGCUUUCAGCAGAGACGAAGCUUUUUGUGACGGUACCUGCAGAAGAAGCACCGGCUAACUACGUG
rnacentral:rRNA from 1 species